rnacentral:lncRNA from 1 species
CGAGGAGGCGGCAGAGAAAGUGGGAAUUCGGGCUUGACAGCACCGGCCCAGACUUCCUGGUUUAGAGAUCAGUCAGUUCCGGCAGCGACAGGGCUCCAGGUGCCUGUUUCCCUAAAGUGCUCCAAAUGGAUGAGACGUGUGGGACUCUGCGUGAAGGGGCAGGAAAGGGCUGUUUACAUCCACACCUGCUCGGCCCACCUGCCCUACAGACUCACGCUAUCAAAUGUUUUCUAGUUGCUAUGACAAUCAAAUCACAGAGCCAGUAUUUGUUAUUGUUCCAGAGGGAAAAAAAGGAAGGACGGUACUGUGAGGCCCAAGUUCAUGUGUCAGUGGGCAGCUGAGUCACCCUGCCAUGGUCUGCCGAGUCCCAGAGCCAUUUUCCUAGGGUCUGAGACUCACACCUGCCACCCCUCUUCCCCAAGAGGAUGGUCCCCUGUCCGAGUCUUUCAACAAGCCCAGGUGGCAGACACCCCGGCCUGAGGACCACCAGCAGCCUGCAGGUGGGCAGCGAAGUCACCCAUGAGGACUCUGCCCUGCCCCAUGGAGUGGCAACUACCAGGCACUGCUGAGACCUCUUUCCUGAGUAUC